rnacentral:lncRNA from 1 species
GCUGGUCAGAGCGUGGAGCUCUGCUGCAUCUGGGGGAGACGGGGAACCAUGGCUCUAGUCUCCAUGAGGAGUCUUUCUAGACGAGGCACAUGUCUUUCAGUGCCUGGUAAUUGUGUAUUCAAAGAUGAAACGUUGAUGAAUUCACUGAGAUUGAUGGAUUGGCUGUCUGCUCUGUGCCUCUGAUUGGCAGGGCUGUUUUACUGCUUAUCUUAUAGCCUCUUCCCAUCCUCUUCCAAGGAAAAGAUUAACACUGUUGGGAGGUUUUGGAACAUAUCCAGAGUGCCUCCUGCCUUCCUGAAGUCACUGGUCCUGCGUUCUCCCAUCUCCAUAUUCCUCUACAGACAAAUCAGUAAUGACAGAGAAACAGACAUGAAC